rnacentral:rRNA from 1 species
UACGGAGGAUCCAAGCGUUAUCCGGAAUCAUUGGGUUUAAAGGGUCCGUAGGCGGUUUGGUAAGUCAGUGGUGAAAGCCCAUCGCUCAACGGUGGAACGGCCAUUGAUACUGCCAGACUUGAAUUAUUAGGAAGUAACUAGAAUAUGUAGUGUAGCGGUGAAAUGCUUAGAGAUUACAUGGAAUACCAAUUGCGAAGGCAGGUUACUACUAAUGGAUUGACGCUGAUGGACGAAAGCGUGGGGAGCGAACCGG